ACCAGCUGUGCAGCCCUAGAGCAUCUAGGCAGCUUAAAGGGUGCAGGCAUCCGCAGUUGGACCACAUUCGCUCACCGACAGACACCGCGCACCGCGCGGUGUCUUCGUUU
rfam:Xanthomonas campestris pv. vesicatoria complete genome